rnacentral:lncRNA from 1 species
UUGUACAGAUAAUAAAAUAUCUAGAUUUUAAGAAAUAAUCAUAACAGAUUUUUUGAUAUUGAUACUUUUUUAUUUUUAGAUCACAUUUCAUAUUUUUUAAAUUUUGAAUUUAAUUUUUGUUUAUUUCUUCAUUUUAACCCGUACUUAGAAGUAUACAUUCAAGACAUAUUUUAUCGUGUAUCUGCUUUUUUAUGUUAUUUAAUUCAGUUUUAUGUGUAGUUUUCUAGUGUACUCGAUUUUCUGAAAAAUGUAUCAGUUAUUUUAUAUAAAUUUCUUCUAAUCAUUUUCUUUUUUUCCAUCUUUCAUAUUGUGACGAGUUCAAUGGCAUCCAUUUCUUAAACGUCUCCAAAAGCAACCGGGUCUCCAAACAUCACUGAAUCUAAUGCGGACAGGGUGCGUUUCGACGUGAUUCAGGAAUCCCCGUUCAAUGAGGUUGAGAUUUGGAUCGUGUUUGUGGACGAGGGAGGUCCUUCGGGAUUGCAUCGACAUCUCAGUUCGGACGAUUAGAACCAGAACAAGUUAAACACGUCGCUAUUUUUAACCACCAAAAUCCCCGGGGGAGACGACGAGCAAGAUCUACCUGUUGCAGCAGGGGGCACCGAUUUGAACAGCACGAUGUCGGUGAUCCAGCUGCCAACGAUCAUGGAGAGCUCCACUGACGGAUUCGUAACCUCUUCCAGCAAUCGUCGCCAUACGAAUGCCAACGCUGGUGCCGCUGCUACCGGAAUACCGCCCCUGCUUAGCUCGCAAACCUCGGUGAAACGCAUCUAAAGUGCCGAAUUGGAAAUGGACAAAAGCUGCGCAACCCACAGCACACGGAUAUUCCACACGCCAUCGUCACCACUCAGCAAAUGCUUCUCGUAAAACCCAAUCUCGAACCUCUUCCAUAAAUAAACUGCGAGAGAACUACAUGAAUGUCGGUCGGCGCCAUCGUACCAGUUUACCAAACUGCAAACCUACGAAAGCACACCAAAUCGACGAAAGCGGUUGACGAGCUGGACACCGAGUCUUGGACCAACCCGCCCCUCAAAAUCAUCCGACAAGAUUAACGGCGGCCAAGACGAAGACGAUGGAAUCCCGCGUGUAUCAGCCCAGCGUCGAGUACGGUCGAAGCGGGAAUUGUCCGCCGACUUGGAGAGUCACAUUGGACGAUUCCCGCUUUGACCGUACUCGACGCGUUAUCCCAUCGUCUUCGUCUUGGCCGCCACCGAUCGUGUCGGAUGUUUUGCAUGGCCGUUUGUUCCAGGUCAAACUCGGUCUCCAGCUCGUCAACCGAGAAGUGGUUCGAGUACCUAGGAACGAUACCACAGGCGUCUUCUAGUAGGAUAACGAUCAGAAGAUUUAGCGCAGAAGGGAACUUCCCAAGUAUGAGAAUUAAGAUCGACAAUCGGAUGUUUUCGCAACGAUUAUCCCCGGAGCGGAUUGCGGAGAAUGCUACAGCGACACCGUUGUUCACCUUUCUCGACUACCGUCCGGAGGUCCCGAUUCCCCCCAACUAACUUCCCGGAAACAACUCGCAGCAAGGUUAAGCUUCACGUCCUUUCGCCGUCCAACGGCGUACGGUUCGGACCGUAUCUACCGGCAGUUCCAGUGCCGACUGCGAAUGUCCCGCAGCAGACAUCCGGUAGUUUCGAUGGAACUCCAAACAGUGGCGGCGGUUCCGUAGCGGGCCCGAGCAACCGCGAUAUCGACGAAAAUAACUGCAACUUUUGCCUGGACUCGAUCGAAUCGGUGUCCACUGCUGCAACAGGUAGAUCUUGCUGGUCGUCUCCCACGGGAUUUUCGCGAACCUGCCGACUUGGUAUAGCGAUCAUUCAUGUACAUGCACUAAAACCUAUGUAAUUUUGCGAAAAAAUACCAUUAAAAGGGGUAUUUGGGGCUGGGACUCGUGUUUUUGUUUGAAUAAUUGAUAAAUAUAAUCUCAAACUAUAAAAAAU